rfam:Oryza punctata chromosome 5, whole genome shotgun sequence.
AUCCCAUGAUGAGGACAGGGGGCGACGUAUUCCUGCAAUCUUUCCCAUGCCUCCGAGAUCGUUACAUCCUUUGUCUGGUGGAAGCUGGAUAUUCUUCCACGAAGGGC